AGUGAUGACAGUGAGAGCGAACACAGCGGGGCGGAGGACGUGUGUGAGGAAUAGGAGACAUCAGAGAAGUUUGGCGAGUUUUAGUUUAGCGGUAGUUUAGUUAAAAAUGUUGCCUGUAUUUCUUCUGUUAUUUCAAAAUGUUAAAAACAUGUUGAUAAUAUUGCUUGAUUGUUAAUCGAUUUUAAUUUUGAAUCAUACUGUACAUAGUUCGCCCUUGUGAAACACUUUGUUUUGAAAAGUGCCGUAGGCCUGUACCGAUAAAUACGGUAUGUUAAUUAUUAUUAUAAUUAUUAAUACAACAGGUGUUUAAUUCAAUGUGUUUUUAAUAUUGUUAUUUUCAAAUAAAAUGAAGUUCUUUAAAAAAAGUUCUUUAUAAACACAA